rnacentral:rRNA from 1 species
ACUCAAAUGAAUAGACGGGGGCCCGCACAAGCAGCGGAGCGUGUGGUUUAAUUCGAUGAUACGCGAAGAACCUUACCUGGGUUUGACAUGGAUGUGGUAGUGAAGCGAAAGCGGAACGACCCUUCGGGGAGCAUUCACAGGUGCUGCAUGGCUGUCGUCAGCUCGUGUCGUGAGAUGUUGGGUUAAGUCCCGCAACGAGCGCAACCCUUGUCGUUAGUUACAAGUGUCUAACGAGACUGCCGGUAUCAAACCGGAGGAAGGUAGGGAUGACGUCAAGUCAGCAUGGUCUUUAUAUCCAGGGCUACACACACGCUACAAUGGCCAGUACAAUAGGUUGCCACACCGCGAGGUGAAGCUAAUCCUCAAAGCUGGUCUCAGUUCGGAUUGUAGUCUGCAACUCGACUGCAUGAAGGCGGAGUUGCUAGUAACCGCGCGUCAGCAUAGUGCGGUGAAUACGUUCCCGGGCCUUGUACACACCGCCCGU